rnacentral:misc_RNA from 1 species
AACUAAAAAGAAACCACCCCACUUCACCUUUUGCAUUAGGUAUGGAGUAUGGCUCAAGUCAUCCUCAUGGAAUUGGUCUCUUUCACAGUCUCUCACUCUUCGGGGUUCAAUUGAAUCAAGUGGACCUAACAUUACUCACUCCAUGUGCCCCCAUGCCACUAUAUAAGGAACUCUUCCAACAGCUAUCCUAAAAGCAAUCCAGCAACAAUCCCAAAAAUCAAUCUUCUAGAAGUGUCUUUCUUCUCUUCUUUUCUAUUCUGCUCCUCCUAAUUUCUCUAUGACAAUGGCGAGUUUUGGGUCAGGAGUUGUUUGUGCAAUUUUUGUCCUGAUUAGUAUGGUGGUGCCAAGUUUGGCAACAGUUUACACUGUAGGAGACUCCACUGGCUGGACAAUGGGCACUGAUUAUAGCACCUGGACUAGUGGCAAGACCUUCACAGUUGGUGACAGCCUUGUAUUUAACUAUGGAGGAGGGCACACAGUGGAUGAAGUGAGUGCCAGUGACUACAACACAUGCACAGUGGGGAAUGCAAUUACUUCAGACAACAGUGGAGCCACCACCAUAGCCCUCAAGACUGCAGGGACUCACUACUACAUAUGUGGAGUGAUUGGGCAUUGUGGAAGUGGCAUGAAGAUUGCAGUAACUGUUAAGGCAGCAUCAUCAUCAGGGACUACUACUACUACCCCAUCUUCAGGUUUAGGGUCUAGUACCACUCCUGCUACUACCUCACCUGCUGGGACUAAUACCACCAUCUACAAACCUUCCUCUAAUAAUAUGCCCGAAUCUGCUUCAACAACUCUUUCUCCAUAUGUGGCUACGGUGGCUACCUGGGUUGCAUUAUUUUGUGCGAUGGUUUUCUCAUUGUAAAGUAUGGCAACCUAACCAGGAUAGAGGCAGUGCUAUCUUUCAGUUUCUUUUCUCUUGGUCUUUUUCCUUAAUUUGUAUUCGGGACUAUUACUCUUCCUUUUUUUUUUAAUUAUUAUUAUUGAUUAGGACCUUACCUAAUAGGGCCUUAUUAUUGUUAGAUCUCUCUGUCCCACUUCUUUCUUUUCUAUUGCUUGUUAACUAUUCUAGGAAUAGUAACUCUAAUUAUGUUAUUGUAUUUAUUUAUGUGGUAAAAAAUGCCAUUCAAUAUCCUAUCCAAAGU